rnacentral:rRNA from 1 species
CAGCAUGGUCUUAGCUUGCUAAGGCUGAUGGCGACCGGCGCACGGGUGAGUAACACGUAUCCAACCUGCCGUCUACUCUUGGCCAGCCUUCUGAAAGGAAGAUUAAUCCAGGAUGGGAUCAUGAGUUCACAUGUCCGCAUGAUUAAAGGUAUUUUCCGGUAGACGAUGGGGAUGCGUUCCAUUAGAUAGUAGGCGGGGUAACGGCCCACCUAGUCAACGAUGGAUAGGGGUUCUGAGAGGAAGGUCCCCCACAUUGGAACUGAGACACGGUCCAAACUCCUACGGGAGGCAGCAGUGAGGAAUAUUGGUCAAUGGGCGAUGGCCUGAACCAGCCAAGUAGCGUGAAGGAUGACUGCCCUAUGGGUUGUAAACUUCUUUUAUAAAGGAAUAAAGUCGGGUAUGCAUACCCGUUUGCAUGUACUUUAUGAAUAAGGAUCGGCUAACUCCGUGCCAGCAGCCGCGGUAAUACGGAGGAUCCGAGCGUUAUCCGGAUUUAUUGGGUUUAAAGGGAGCGUAGAUGGAUGUUUAAGUCAGUUGUGAAAGUUUGCGGCUCAACCGUAAAAUUGCAGUUGAUACUGGAUGUCUUGAGUGCAGUUGAGGCAGGCGGAAUUCGUGGUGUAGCGGUGAAAUGCUUAGAUAUCACGAAGAACUCCGAUUGCGAAGGCAGCCUGCUAAGCUGCA